rnacentral:lncRNA from 1 species
GGGUAUUCAACACAAAAAUCAAAAAAGCCAAAGCUAGCCCGAACUGACCGGACAAAAGACUGAAACUGACCUCAAACAAACUAACAUCAAACUCGGAGCGGCCGGAAUCAACCCAAAACAGGACGAUUUCAGACUGGUUUAACUAUUUGAUCUUGGUUUUCAGCAAUGGAGAUGCUUUAGAUUGAGUUUUUAAUGGAUUUCCGGUGAAGAGUGGCCCAAAAACUCGAUAUACGGUCGAAUUCUUCUCUUUCAGUAUCCUCUCGUCCUUCCCGUAUCUCUCCGAUGUUCUCUAAUUCAUCCACCUCACUAUUUUCUCACCGACCUCACUGUGUACGCGUGUGUUUAUUUUUUCUGGUGAGAAGGGUGCGCAUCUAUUGGUAGUGCAUGAAUCUAUGAGGUGUGAGUAUUGUUGUGAUGUUCUGUG